GGAAAAGAAAGGGGAGAAACCCUACUUCACAAAAGAACUCCAAAUUUCAGCAAAUUAGUAGUGAUUCUUGGCACAAUUCGAAUGCAUGUGUUUAAAUACUCAAUAAUCCAAGUGUCUUGAACUUAAGGAACGAAAGAAGAAGGAGUUAGUUCCGGAUCACAAACAAAGGCUCAAGAUCGAGGUAAAGCACCCGUAUGAUUAUCAUUGCGUCGCUCGGAUAUGAACACACCUUGAUCACCCGUGAUACGCUUCCGCCCCUUUUGGUAGUAACUUCAAAAGUUAAUAGUUUUUGUAAUGUCUAGUUGUGUUGAAGUCUUUAAACUUUAACUAGUUGUUUGCAAAUAUUUAGUACUUGAAACUCGAUGUUUGAAA